UACGUAGGGUGCAAGCGUUAAUCGGAAUUACUGGGCGUAAAGCGUGCGCAGGCGGUUAUGUAAGACAGAUGUGAAAUCCCCGGGCUCAACCUGGGAACUGCAUUUGUGACUGCAUCGCUGGAGUGCGGCAGAGGGGGAUGGAAUUCCGCGUGUAGCAGUGAAAUGCGUAGAUAUGCGGAGGAACACCGAUGGCGAAGGCAAUCCCCUGGGCCAAGACUGACGCUCAUGCACGAAAGCGUGGGGAGCAAACAGG
rnacentral:rRNA from 1 species